rnacentral:rRNA from 1 species
GACACGCUGGCGGCGUGCUUAACACAUGCAAGUUGAACGGGCAUACAUGGAAGCUUGCUGAAGUGUAUGUUAGUAGCGGACGGGUGAGUAAUGCAUGAGAAGCUGCCAUUGGGAGGGGGACAACAGUUGGAAACGGCUGCUAAUACCCCGUAUGCCGAAAGGUAAAAGGGAGCAAUCCGCCUGAUGAGGUGCUCAUGUCCUAUCAGCUGGUUGGUGGGGUAACGGCCUACCAAGGCGACGACGGGUAGCCGGCCUGAGAGGGUGAACGGCCACACUGGAACUGAGAUACGGUCCAGACUCCUACGGGAGGCAGCAGUGGGGAAUAUUGGGCAAUGGGGGAAACCCUGACCCAGCGACGCCGCGUGAGGGAAGACGGCCUUCGGGUUGUAAACCUCUUUUGUACGGGAAGAAGGAAGUGACGGUACUGUACGAAUAAGUCCCGGCUAACUACGUG